GCAUUUGCGUCUAAGGAGGUGCGGGCUUUCGAACGCCGCAGUAGUUACGCGUCCCGCGGACCCUGUCUGAUUCUGAAAGAACAGACACACCGUGUGCGGGCCUCGUCAACUCCUGCCCGCCUCUCUGGCAUUUACGUGGGGCCUAUGCUUUUUCUGAGAUUUUCUCCUGGAAUCGCGGGGUCAGAGCUGGACCAGUGCUUGAGGUCACUUUCUUUUAAAAUAGAAAUGUAAGGUCCAAGGAAGAAAAACGCACUUACUGGAGGAGGCUGAUGAGAGAGGUGGUGUAUCACUGCCCGCAGAGGGGAAGUCGGGCCACACCCUCCACAAAAGAAGUUCCCAGUCUAGGGGUCAAAUCAGAGCUGUAGCCGCCAGCCUAUGCCAGAGCCACAGCAACUCAGGAUUCGAGCCGUGUCUGCGAUCUACACCACAGCUCACCGCAACGUGGGAUCCUCAACCCACUGAGUGAGGCCUGGGAUCAAACCCACAACCUCAUGGCUCCUAGUCAGAUUCAUUUCCACUGCACCACUACGAGAACUCCAAGACUACCUGUCAUUUGAGACAGUUCAGCCAGCCUGGAUUCACAACCUCAUUCCACCCCUUAUUAGCUCCUAUAGCUUUAGACAAUAUUUUUGACCUCUCAUUUUUACCCUGCUGUGAAAUUGGCAUAUUUUCUCAUCCAUGAAAUUGGCACUUUUGCCUUAUGGAGAUGUGGUUUUAAAGGAGACAGUACAUAUAAAAAUUGUUCAAGGAGUUCCCAUUGUGCUCAGUGGGUUAAGGACCUGAUAUAGUCUCUGUGAGGAUGCAGAUUCCAUCCUUGUCCUCACGCAGGGGGUUAAGAAUUUGGCAUUGCCACAAGCUGCAGCGUAGGUUGCAGAUGCAGCUCAACUCCAGUGUUGCUGUGGCUGUGAUGUCGGCCUGCAGCUGCAACUUGGCCCCUGGCCUGGGAAGUUUCAUAUGCCAAAGGUAUGGCCAUAAAAAGAAAAAGAAUUGCUCAAAACAGAUGUAUGUAAAGUUCUGAAUUGUUCUGAAAACCCACAUGCUCUAUAACCAGGUCUAGGAUGUGGCCUAACCUAAUUCCUGUGUCCAGUCGCCUGGGCCAGGCUAAGGGGCUUUGCAGGACUUGUAAAAGCUCAUGUAGCUUUUAAAUCCCUGGGUUCAAGUUGUACAGGCCUUCCCCUUACAGUAAUCUUACCUUUUUUUUUUAAUCUCCACCCUGACAUCCAGCCCUGACAUAGGCUGCAUGUAAGAUUUGAUGGUUGAACAAGUAAGAGCAGGGACUACUGGGCUGCACUGCCUUUUGUGCCAGCAGCCCUAACUUACACUGUUCCUAGCUGCCCCGUAAAUUUUAACAGCACUUUUGUAGUAAUAAGACUGUACUCACAUCCUAGUAGCAUUCACAUAUCUAUUUAUCUUAUCUAUCCUCAGCUGUAAACUUCUAGCCGGCAGAAUGAAUUUGGCCUAUGUGCUGCUUUGACUUAUGUUAUGGUAUAAAAACCGGAAAAUCUCACAUGAAAAUCCUGAUUUGGGAUAACACCCACACUCCUGCACAGUAACUGUCAACACAAGUGAAAAAUCCUAAUGUUAGACUAGUCCAUGUUGUAAGCAGGGUAGAAUAAUAUAACACAUUUAAUUGUGUGUGGACAACACACCAAAAAAACCCCUAGAGUUCCCGUCGUGGCUCAGCGGAAAGGAAUCUGACUAGCACCCAUGAGGACACAGGUUCAAUCCCUGGCCUCGCUUAGUGGGUUAAGGAUCCAGCAUUGCCAUGAGCUGUGGUGUAGGUUGCAGACAUGGCUCGGAUCUGACAUUGUUGCGGCUUUGCUGGAGGCUACAGCUCCGAUUGAACCCCUAGCCUGGGAACCUCCAUACCUCUCGGAUGUGGCCCUGAAUAUAUAUAUAUAUAUAUAUAUAUAAAGCCUCCUAAUAUUAAAAAGACCUUUGCCAGCUCUGUCUUACACAAGUAAUAACAGAGGGAGUACUUUGGCCUAACACUCGAGUGUAUGUCCCCCAGCACCCAGGUAAGGGCCUCAGAUACUGUCACUAAAAAAGAGCAGGUGCAAAAGAAAAAAAUGCCUCCCUAGGGAUGUCUACAUCCCAGCCCCCUAAACCUAUGAAUACCUUACAUGGCAAAAGGAACUUUGCAGGUGUAAUUAAGGGACUUGGGGUGGGAAAGUUGUCCUCAAUUACCCAAUGGCCCCAGUGUCAUCACAAGGAUCCUUGUAAGGAGGCCAUGAGUCAGAAUUGGAGGUAAGGAGUUCCCAUCAUGGCUCACUGGAAAUGAAUCUGACUAGUAUCCAUGAGGACACAGGUUUGAUCCCUGGCCUUGCUCAGUGGGUUAAGGAUCCAGCUUUGUCAUGAGCUGUGGUGUAGGUCAAAGACGAGGCUUGGAUCUGGCACUACUGUGGCUGUGGUGUAGGCCAGGGGCUACAGCUCAGAUUUGACCCCUAGCCUGGGAACUUCCUUAUGUUGCUGGUGGGGCCAUAAAAAGACAAAAAAAAAAAAAAGAAUUGGAGCUGACUGUGGAAGCAGAGGUUGGGGAGAUAUGGCCGAGGAAUGUAGGUGGCCUCUAGAAGCUGAAAAAAGGCAAGGAAUUUCCCCUAGAGCCUCCAGAAGGAAAGCAGCCUCCUUUUUCCUUUUAGUCCUGUAAGACCCAUUCCAAACUUGUGACCUCCAAAAAAUACUCCCAAAAUACUGUUUUAAGCCACUAAGUCUGUAGUAACUUGUUACAGAAGUAACCUGAAACUUACACAAAUUUCAGGACCUGGGAGUUGGGUGCUGCUGCAACAAAUACCUAAAAAAUGGUUUUGGAACUGGGCAGUAGGGAGAGGCUGGGGGAAUUAUGAUAGAGAACAACCUAGAAUGUUCUGCAGGUUGUUGGUAGAAACUUAGCUGAAUUGUGCCCCACAGUUAAGUUUCUGGUUUUUUUCUAGAGCCCCACCUGCAGCAUAUGUAAGUUCUCAGGCUAGGGGUUGAAUCAGAGCUACAGCUACCGGCCUACACCACAGCCACAGCCAUGCCAGAUCCAAGCCACAUCUGUGACUGAGACCACAGCUCAGAAAUGCCAGAUCCUUAUGAACCCCACUAGUACCCAUGAGGAUGCAGGUUCAAGGCCAGGGAUCCCACAACGGGAGGCCAGAUCCCACAACGGGAACUCCAAGAUAAACUGUUCUGAGAGAGGGUUCAACCUCACUUCUAGCACCUUAGUUUUUAAUUAACUUUGGGCUUCUGUGUCCCAACCUAGUUAACCAGCCAAAAAUACCAGACUCCCACACUGCUGAUGAGAUGGCAUUCUUUAGGGCCAAAUAAAAGGGUUUUGCUUUUUCUUUUUCAGCUGCACCUGCAGCAUAUGGAAGCUCCUGGGCCAGGGAUUGAAUCCAAGCCAGAGCUUAUCUAUAGCACGGCUGCAGCAACACUAGAUCCUUAACCCAUUGCUGGGGAUUGAACCCAAGCCUCCAGAGACAAGCUGGAUCAUUAACCCACUGUGCCGCAGCAGGACCUCCUGGAGUAAGACUAUAUAGCAUCCAGUAAAGGGGGAACAUGGUAGAAUCUUUAGGAAGAUGUAAGACGGAAAAAACCCAAAGUUGUAAGAAAAAAUUUAGUUAUUAGUAAAACUGUUAUAUUU
rnacentral:lncRNA from 1 species